rnacentral:rRNA from 1 species
GAUGAACGCUGGCGGCGUGCCUAACACAUGCAAGUCGAACGAUGAAACCGCCCUCGGGCGGACAUGAAGUGGCGAACGGGUGAGUAACACGUGACCAACCUGCCCCUUGCUCCGGGACAACCUUGGGAAACCGAGGCUAAUACCGGAUACUCCUCGCCCCCCUCCUGGGGGCCCGGGAAAGCCCAGACGGCAAAGGAUGGGGUCGCGGCCCAUUAGGUAGUAGGCGGGGUAACGGCCCACCUAGCCCGCGAUGGGUAGCCGGGUUGAGAGACCGACCGGCCACAUUGGGACUGAGAUACGGCCUAGACUCCUACGGGAGGCAGCAGUGGUGAAUUUUGCGCAAUGGGGGAAACCCUGACGCAGCAACGCCGCGUGCGGGACGACGGCCUUCGGGUUGUAAACCGCUUUCAGCAGGGAAGAAAUUCGACGGUACCUGCAGAAGAAGCUCCGGCUAACUACGUGCCAGCCGCCGCCGUAA